GUCUAACACAGUAAAUUACAGACAUACAGACAGUAUAUCUACCUAGCUGUGUUGAAUCUGGAUGUGUGUGGAAAUGUGUGUGUAUGUUUGUGUGUGUGUGUGUGUGUGUGUGAGAGAUUAUGCGAGUGUGUGUUCUUGUCCAUGCGUUUACCUCUAGACAUUGUGUGUGUGUGUGUGUGUGUGUGUGUGUUUACAUUGUGUGUGUCUUAUACUAACUCCCUUAUUCAAGGAUCCACAAUUUGCUGAAUGGUCUCUGCUCAGGAAUAAAACUUGUGUGUCCAAAAUGGUACUCUCCUAUUGGCCCUGGUCUAAAGUAGUGCACUAUAUAGGGAAUAGGGCUAUGGUCUAAAGUAGUGCACUAUAUAGGGAAUAGGGUGCCAUAGGGCUCUGGUCUAAAGUAUAGUGCUCUAUAGGGAAUAGGGCUCUGGUCUAAAGUAGUGCACUAUAUAGGGAAUAGGGUGCCAUUGGAGAAUCAGCCAAGGACUCAGCAGACAUACAUCUGCUCCAGUAUACACAGGCCUCACAUGGGGCCCAAUCAUAACCUGCCAUCUGCACAUGCUCAGUCUCUCCAGGCCAGACAGAACACGGCAGAUGUCUGCCAGGAGAUGGGGAAAUUUCCCAUAACAACAAACCAUUCUUCUGGUGCGUUGCUUUUCUGCUUAUUAGGGACGAAUCAACCAAUCAAAUCAUGAACAACAAAUCAAAUUUUACGUCACGGAAAUGUAACGAGUUAGCAUUGGUCUGGUCAGUUGAUAUUUGAUCCAGGUCUGGUCAGUUGAUAUUUGAUCCAGGUCUGGUCAGUAGAUAUUUGAUCCAGGUCUGGUCAGUAGUCAGUUGAUAUUUGAUCCAGGUCUGGUCAGUAGAUAUUUGAUCCAGGUCUGGUCAGUUGAUAUUUGAUCCAGGUCUGGUCAGUUGAUAUUUGAUCCAGGUCUGGUCAGUAGUCAGUUGAUAUUUGAUCCAGGUCUGGUCAGUAGUCAGUUGAUAUUUGAUCCAGGUCUGGUCAGUAGUCAGUUGAUAUUUGAUCCAGGUCUGGUCAGUAGUCAGUUGAUAUUUGAUCCAGGUCUGGUCAGUAGUCAGUUGAUAUUUAAUCCAGGUCUGGUCAGUAGUCAGUUGAUAUUUAAUCCAGGUCUGGUCAGUGGUCGGUCAGUAAUGUAACAGUGAAGACAUAUCUAACAGUAAAAGUCUUGGACAGGACAGGAGGAGUGUGUUGUUUGGAAAAAGGACUUCCCAGAACGUCUGUGAUUGUUUUUGUCUCGGAGAACAGAGUGGAGAGACGGAGAGAGUGUACACAUGUGUUUGGUCAUUUCUCCUCUUCGUUUUGUUCUACUUCCUGUAUCACACGGGAACAGCCAAUCAGUUCAUGCGUUGCAGUAACGAUGAUGACUAGUGAAUAGUCUAGAAUCUUCCUCUGUGUUUGGGCUGGUGGUGAUGACGACGCCCAGGAGAGAUGCAGCCCAACCGGAAUACAUGUUAGUGUGAGACUGAGCGUUGUCACGACAACAACCUCCACUGUGUUCCUGUGGAUUUACACAUCACGGUAUUAAUGCUUAGACUGGACGCAUGGUUUCAUGGGGAAUCCAUUACCUACGAAGCUAUGACAAAGUGUGUGUCUCACACUCACACGCACACACACACACACACACACACACACACACACACUUUGACACCACUACCCUUUUGACACACAUCCCUCAGCAAAUUCAGGUCCUUUAGUUUUAGUGUUUUGUGAGUUUUAUUGCUGAAAAAAAUGCAACUGUUAUUGUCGUGUUAUUUCCACAUCACUGAUAUACACCCAGCCCAAAGAAUGUAACGGAGAAAGAGACUUAAUGUAUGUAUCUUGUUUGACUGUGUCCCAAAUGACACCCUAUUUCCUAUAUAGUGCGCUACGUUUUAUCCAGAGCUGGUCUAAAGUAGUGCACUAUGUGUAUGAAACAGGGUGGGACGUAGCCAUUCUGCUGUAGAAGAGAAACAGGCUUGUGUAAUGAAGUGGUUCAAUCAUGUUCCAUUCAAUGGUAUGAGAAUCGAGUUCUGAAAUUCUAUGUUCUGAUUCUAUGAUUCCGUUGUUCCGAUGUUACUGUAACAAGCAGCUCAGAAACCUUACUUACCAGGUAACUCCACUUACCAGGUAACUCCAACUAGUUUAAUGUACACUUACCAGGUAACUCCACUUACCAGGUAACUCCACUUACCAGGUAACCCCAACUAGUUUAAUGUACACUUACCAGGUAACUCCAACUAGUUUAAUGUACACUUACCAGGUAACCCCAACUAGUUUUAAUGUACACUUACCAGGUAACCCCAACUAGUUUAAUGUACACUUACCAGGUAACUCCAACUAGUUUACUCUACACUUACCAGGUAACCCCAACUAGUUUUAAUGUACACUUACCAGGUAAUCCCAACUAGUUUAAUGUACACUUACCAGGUAAUCCCAACUAGUAUACUGUACACUUACCAGGUAACCCCAACUAGUUUUAAUGUACACUUACCAGGUAAUCCCAACUAGUAUACUGUACACUUACCAGGUAACUCCAACUAGUUUUAAUGGGGCUCUGCUGGCAUUUCCUCUUCUCUGUCACCAGGUGUCUCCUCCCAACAUAGUGUUUCCUGUAUUCUAAACCCUUCUCCUCCUGCUCUCCCAAAGCAACAUGGAAACAGUAUUCUAAACCCUUCUCCUCCUGCUCUCCCUCGGUCAAUAUGAAAAUAAAACCCAAUUUACAAAUGUAUUGUUGGUUGUGUGUUUUUGUCGCUUACUUUACAGGAGCAGUGACGGCCUCCACUGGAACACACACACACACACACACACACACACACACACACACACACACACACACACACACACACACACACAGGAACACACACACACACACACACAGGAACACACACACA
ensembl:lncRNA